rnacentral:tRNA from 1 species
GGGGUUGAGGCUCAGUGGUAGAGUGCUUGCCUAGCACACAUGAGGCACUGGGUUCAAUCCCCAGCACCA